UGCGAGUUUUCAGAUCCAAGCCAUAAUCAGUCGCUAACCGUGUUUGUGGAUAGUCUGUGAUAAGAAUUUAUUAGUUCCUGUCGAAAAUUUGAGUCGCUGCCGUUUAAAAAAAACGUUUUACUUUUUGUCUAAACAUGAAGUGGAUCAUAAUAACAGUUUUAAUUGUGAUGUCGUCAGUGGUGUCGCAAGCUCGUCAUAUUAAUCCUCACGGGAAACACACUGCGCCUAUGGAAAAGCAUGAUUCAACUGUUUCAAAUGAAGAUGAUUAUGCAGACAUUGUAGAAAUUCGAGCGAUGAAGCCAGUGAGAUUCGUCCCCAUCAACAACGCAAUGUACUUCAAAAAUUACGAGCCCUGCGAGGAGGGCUACGCUCGGGAUCGAUUAGGUGUCUGCAGGGAAAUCUGGAAUUAGAAGCUAGUUUACUAAAA